rnacentral:snRNA from 1 species
GGAUGUGAGGGCGAUCUGUCUGCGACAUCUGUCACCCCAAUGAUCGCCAGGGUUGAUUCUGCUGAUCUGGCUGGCUAGGCGGGUGGGACUUAAUCCCUCACCUCUCCAUGUGCUUCCCUCCUGAAGCUGUGCACUCAGUCAGAGGACUGCCUUCCCUGAAUAGAGACAGACUGGUCUUCAGUUGAGGGUACAGGAGUAGCUGUGCUCCCCUGCUAGAACCUCCAAACAAGCUCUCAAGGUUAUUGUCAUCCUUCUAAAAUAAGACCCUAUAUCCAUUAGCUAGCUGUCAUUCCUU